GGAUGCGAUCAUACCAGCACUAAUACACCGGAUCCCAUCAGAACUCCGCAAUUAACCGUGCUUGGGUGAGAGUAAUACUAGGAUGGGUGACUUCCCGGGAAGUCCUCGUGUUUCAUCCC
rfam:Arabidopsis thaliana chromosome 5, complete sequence.